AUGGUUACAUAUUUAAUCUCUACUAAUGUCUUUGCUUCUUCAAUGUCAAAGAUGAAUCAUUCCAGACCUGAGGAUGGCAGAUACAAAGUAUCUGAUGCUGAUACGACUGAAUGUUUGUAUGAGAAUGUAAUUAUGAAUUAUUCCAGACCUCAUGAUGACAGACUUAAUGAUUAUGAAGUAGAAUCGACUGAACCUGUGUAUGAGAAUGUAAUGCGUGACAGGCCGUAGUGUUUGGGACAUGUGGCAAAACAUUUUACAGCCUUUUUCUGUCUCUCUGUGGGUGGAGCCCUGAAUGAUUGACAGUGUCUUGAUUUACAGAAAUUAACUUAGAAACUGGUUCUAUCACAGAGUGACUUACAAUGAUAAGCCUUAAGUGAUGAAAUUUUGUGACUGUAUUUAAGCAUAAAAAUAUUAUACGAAUUAGAAUGAAAACAAUCUUAAAUUGCAACACACAAAAACUACAUCUUAAAACAUAUAUAAUCAUGUAAGAUCUCAUUGGAUAUUAAGUUUAACAUAUUCUGCCUAUUCCGUGUUUUUAAAGGUAUUGUACAUUGCAUUUUUAUUAAAGUGUAUUGUCAUAACGCAUGUUGCGUUCUUAGUCUUUUCUUUGUAUUUACACGUGUUUGACCAGCAGAUGUCCUCAGCGGGCGGUGUUCAGAACAGAAAAUAAUUUUACAAAGCAAAUGAUUCAGUUGAUUUGAAGAUACAGAAUACUGCCUUUCCAUGUCACUAGUGAUAUUAUAAUGAAUCAGUGAUACUACCCAGCGUUCAGCGCCCUCU
ensembl:lncRNA